AUGAAAUACAGGAAAACGCUGCAUGUCAAGCAGAAAGCCUAUAUACAGUAUGUUAGUUCAUUUAUGUAUGGAGCUAUAGUGCAUUAAUGUCUGCUUAUAGAAAAUACCAAGUUAUGAUGAUAAUUCCUCAGCUACAAUAGGUACAGAGUGCUUCAAUCAUUUCAAUCAAAGAUCUGGACAUUGAUGUGACUUGCAGUUUGCUAAGGCAUGCUACUUUUGGUGAAGAGCAAAUUUCAGACGAGAGAAAUACAUGAGACAUGAUGGAGAAAAAGACCAAGAACAUGAUCACAAGACACAGCCGGAAAGAACAAGACAAAUAUAAAUGAAACACUGAAAGGCAGUCGGUAUAUGGAAGUGAUGAAGGAAUAGGGGUAUCGCAACAAGUCACCAAUACAUCAUGGUUCCUAACCUGAUGUCUGAUAAAAAGGGGCAACUGAAGAGACGAUAUGAGCUGCUGUUAAAGUGCAUCUGUUACAAUGAAAGGACAUUUCUGGAUGGAAUAGUGUAUAGAAUAUUAAUGUCUGACUUGAUUUAGAAAGGAUUACAAGUUUUCCUUGUUGCUUGGAUUUCCUGCACAAUGCCAAUGGCACCAAUAUGCAAAUGAGCUGGAGGAGACAGAUUCAGCAGCAUACUAGUGACAAGAAACAUGGCGACUGUUCUGUAGAAAGGAUAAUAAAGUGCCAAAUGAAUCCACCACAAGGUGUAGAAACGAAAGUGGGUUAUCUUAGUGGAAGAUAGUCUGAUGGAGAGUGUACCCCAGGACUCACAGAAAGGAUGCAGACUGUAAACACAUCUAGGUAUCUUUGGGGUAUAACACACAGCGUACCCAAACUCACACUGCACGAUAUAUGAUGACUCCUAUAAAGGUAUCUUUCAGGAGUUAUUGCUCAUCGGUCGCUCUCCAACCAAGUGGCUUGUGUUCUCAAUUUUAUUGUGUAAAUAAAAACAAAACACAGUUAAUGUGUGGUACAUUCUAAAGGUCAAUUAAUGUGAUUAUCAUUAAUUGACCUUUAAAAGCACCAAUCACUACCACUGAGUGGUGCUUUUUUUCCCCAUUGAUCGGAAACUAUUUAAUGCAGGUGUGUCAUGUUUUUAAAAAAAUUUCCCUGUGACCCAGAGUUGUUUUAAAAGCAGGGUUGUUGUUUUUUUUUAAUGAAAUUAUUUUUUUUAUUUAAACCAACAUUU